CAGCGAUAUUUUACAUAUGAAACUAUGCCAAGACUGCCAAGAAGCUCCUGCGCUUGUUAAUUGCCUUAAUUGCAAAGAUUUCUUUUGCGAACUGUGUUUUCAGUAUACACACAAACGAGGUAAUAGACGCAAACAUCUUGUAGAGACGUUAAAUAUAGCUUCUAACUUUAAGGAUUCAAAUAAGAAGAUCGAAACUUCUGCCCUUAUUGAAGGGACUACAGCACAUUUUGAAGUUUUACUAAAG